rnacentral:rRNA from 1 species
CCUACGGGAGGCAGCAGUGGGGAAUUUUGGACAAUGGGGGCAACCCUGAUCCAGCAAUGCCGCGUGAGUGAAGAAGGCCCUCGGGUUGUAAAGCUCUUUUGUCAGGGAAGAAAAGGUUGCGGCUAAUAUCCGCGACUCAUGACGGUACCUGAAGAAUAAGCACCGGCUAACUACGUGCCAGCAGCCGCGGUAAUACGUAGGGUGCAAGCGUUAAUCGGAAUUACUGGGCGUAAAGCGUGCGCAGGCGGUUUUGUAAGACUGUCGUGAAAUCCCCGGGCUUAACCUGGGAAUGGCGAUGGUGACUGCAAGGCUAGAGUUUGGCAGAGGGGGGUAGAAUUCCACGUGUAGCAGUGAAAUGCGUAGAUAUGUGGAGGAACACCGAUGGCGAAGGCAGCCCCCUGGGUCAAAACUGACGCUCAUGCACGAAAGCGUGGGGAGCAAACAGGAUUAGAUACCCUGGUAGUCCACGCCCUAAACGAUGUCUACUAGUUGUCGGGUCUUAAUUGACUUGGUAACGCAGCUACGCGUGAGUAGACGCCGUCGGGAGGUACGGUCGGCGAGAAGUUAAACGUAACGUUAAAGAAGUAGUUAGGCGUGAGACGNGCCGACGGACGACGACGAGGGAGGAGG